GCGACCACUGACCUGACCUUUCCCAUGGGCCAGGCCCUAUAAUGAUACAUCUGCAUCUAUUACCUAUUUUGUUCUUCAGAUAUAUGCUACCAAUCAUGAUUAGCAAAAGAAAAGCUGGGGAACUGGACACACUAAGUAACUGUCCUGGGAAUACACAGCUGUGAUACGUGUGAACCAAUGAAGAACAGGAAUCAUUUCUUUUUGUGUUCUUAGUUGGACAGAUGAACCUGAUUCAAAAUUCCAGGAUUCUAUUCUGAUACUGACAGUGGCUAGCUUGUUUCAGCCAUAGGGACCAUAAAAAGUAUUCUUUCACCAAUUUUUUAGCAUGUACUAUAUGCUUUUUGAUGCUCUGCUAGACACACAAAUGAUUCAACA
rnacentral:lncRNA from 1 species